UUUUUAUUACAUACACAUAUUACAACAUGCAAAAUGCUGAACUGCCAUGUUGUUCUUAUUGCAGAUGCCUUAUACAUGGGGGCGGGGGUUGAAUCUACUACACCAAAAGGCCAAAUAGGGUUGCAUCAAAACUUUUAAUAUUGGCAACCAAUUUGUGUCACUUGCAACACUUUCUAAUCACAGGUUCUAGUAGAUAUGUUUAUUAAGGUAUGAUUAUUGUGUUCUCACAAUUAAAUUUAAGCAAAAGUGACAGAGCAUGCAGCGGCAUCUUGGGAAGUUGUUUCAGGUGGGGGUUUAUCUGGCUGCUGGUACAAUUAUCUAUCAAGUAACUUCUUGCGGGAAGAACAUGAAGUCAAACCAUUUCUCCAUUUCCUUCGUUCAAUUGUAUUUCAAAUUAAUUUCCCAAAUAUGCAGUCAACACUAAAAACCUGUGUUUCUCUGCAUCAACUGAAUAGCUCGUCUCCUAAAUGAAUUACGAGGGCCGAGCAGUCCGCUGAUGUUUCACCUUCAAGGCUGACCUUGCGAUGGCGAUUCUCUGCUGAUGCCUGCCAGAGAUAAAGGCUCUGAUUCCCUCUCACCCCCCCACGCCAAGGACGCACGCAUCAUCGCUUUACUGGCCUAUCUGCCCGGGUGAUGCAUGGCUCCUAUAGCCAGUCAGGUCCCGGCCAGUAUUUAUAAGAAUCUGCGCGAGGCAGCAACCGCCUCAUCAGCGCCGUGCACUCGCUACGGGCCGUUGGCGCAAAAAGCAAGAAGAAAAUGUAUUCUUAAGCUGAGGAACACGCAGAUGAAAUGUCAGGGGGUGCCGAAGGUGUGAGCUCAGUCGAGAGACGGGUAUUAAGCAUUUUUAUCAAUAGAUCCUUCAGACCCACCUGUUGUUGAAGCGUUAACAGAGACACAGCACACCUUAGCGAGAGGAUGAAAUCAAAUGAAGGGUGAACGCUCGGGAAAAAACAAGGAGGUGAGACUACAUCCGCACUCCGCUGCGAUGAAAGGACGCCUUGAGGCCGGCGGGGGAAGUGAGCAGCGAGCAACAGUCAAUCCCUGAGAUUCACUGGGAAUCAGUGGGGGACGACGCACUCACAGGUGUUUAUGUAAAUCAUCUUCAAACGGAUCCGAGCCCGCUAAUGAAAACAGCAGUCUCACAAUGAUGUGAUGCGAGUGGAUGUAAGUGAUGGUCCAGUCGGGAAGUCAGGAGCCCGCUGCAGAGCCUUCCUGCGCGCCGUCAAGGUCUACCGGCGGUUUUAUUGGGAGAACACAUGGUGCACUUGUUCCAUUACGAUCAAUGUGCAGACAUAUUGUGCUGCAGAUUGUGCACCGCGUCAACGCAGAGGCGGCCACUGCGUCCGCCUUAGCUGUGCUUUGGACCUUCUUGAGGGGAGGAUGAAGACACCCUCGACAGAAUAAAGUUCAACUGGUUGACUCAGAGGCAAAGGGGACACACGGGCAACAAGCACUGCAGAACACUUGGAGACGCUUUCCCUGUAGACGCAGCGAGGCCGAAAAUAAACCGACAGGGUUCGUUUUCUAUUCCUAUAAAAGAAAUUCAGCAGCUUUGAUGAGGAUUUUUCUUCUCCUUAAUGCAAUGCAGAGCUAUUUCAUCGUCAAGUAUUUUUAAAAGGGCUGAUUUUAAUAUCUUAAAUGUCUUUGCAGCUGUACAAUCUAAGAAAACUAGCCUGUGAUCAGGACUUGUCUUGGAAUGGGAUCAGGGACAUUUCUACAUAUUUAAAGUAAGAGAGUACUUUUAUUUUGACCUGACGGAGGCUCCAGUCAUGCAAUAACGUUUUUCAAUCCAUCCAAAGGAGAACACAAUGGAUCUAUCAAAUCUCAUCCAGUAAAUACAGCGUGCAGUAGUCAAGGGAAAGACGCCGUGGGGGCCGUGAGUAUGAAAAGGAGCAUUGAGCUCCAUGAACUUGUGUCUUCCUGAAGGUCUAUAUUGUGUUAUUAUUUCACAAUGCCUCUCAUUCACAGACAAGAAGUGAGAUCUCUCUUAUAGGACAUUGAGUCUGAAGCUCCAUGACGUUGGUCUCCGUAAUGACAUCACCACAAUACUGGUUUGAGGUUCCAGGUUUAUCACUUUCAUUUGGUAUCAUCUCAGUACGUCAGCAGAGUGACAUCAAUUAACACUCAGCCUGAUAAAUAUUCAAGGUUCUUUUCAUAUGCCGUCAUGGGAAAACAAAAUGGAGACAGUGCACAGGGCUUACAUCUUAUUAAUGACUCAUUUACUUUGAUCACAAGCUGUCAUUACACUGUUUCUUCCAUUUUGUGCCUUUCAACAUCUGCCAAGAGAUUGUUAAAACUAUCUCCGAGAAGAGAAUCUUAGUUAGCGGCAAAUGUGAACUGCCGAGUUUGAUGAAUCCCAGAUACGCACGUGGCAGAAGAAGACGCGAGCGCUAAAGUGAUCCGUGAAGGGCUUAAUUACACUGCCUUCAUGCUACUGUAUCUGUCACAUGCACAGCUGUUCCACAAACAUCAAAACAAUGCAUUCUUUUGGCUUGUUUAUGUAACUUGUCUACAGGGGGCAAGUAUGUUAAUGCUGAGUCCUUGAUAUUCAAGUGGAGCCUCCCUAUUUAUAGUGUGCACAGCAUUUCUUUGCACCGACUCCACUCCAAUGGAAACUUUCUCCACUUCGUGCAUCGCAACCCGGGCUGCACGGAGUUCAGAUGGAACCUCGAGUUUGAACGGCGCUUCGGUGGAGUUCCAUCCUUGGCGAUCUAUCAAAAUAGAUUUGUUUUUAGAACAGUAGUAUCAAACAAAGCAUAUAUUUUGUUUUUGUGUUUCUUCCACACUUGGCGGGGGGGUUGCUGGGGACUGAAGGGUGCAUUACUGCUCAGAUGGACCACACACUCUGUUGUUAUGGUCCCUCUAUGACAGGAUGCAGUGACCACCAGGGAGACUCAUGACAAGAUUUAGUAGUUUCAGAGACGCUUAUUGGCAUGAGUCCAAGGUACCCUCACUUCUAGGAAAUAUAUUGUGUGCUAAGCUAAGUAGCUGCAAGUAUACCAAUAGUCACAGUACACACUUCAGAGUGGUACUUUUCUUCAUAAAAUACAACAUAAUGUACUCCUUUAAAGAUGUGCCAUUCUGGCAUUAAUAGAGGAUUAACAGCACUGCUGUUUAGGAAAACAACGGGGGUCAAACCACAGAAGAUUUUGAGUGAUGUAAAGGUUGAAAGAUAAAGAUUGACAUAAAUAUUGGCAACUUCAUUACACCGUAUCAGUCAAUCCACUGAGCACACAUCAGACUGAGGAGGCAAUCCGUCCGUUUGGACUCAUUCAGCCAAGUCGCCGUGGAGGGAAACGCGUUUUGCCACCGAGUCGCUUCACUAAUCAAAUCAGAAUCAGUGAUUUCAGCGUGGAAGAUGGUCGAUGCAGAUCAUUGUGAUCAACAAACCGUGGGUAUAUUCAGCUCGCAUCUACCCACCACCCCCCCUACGAUCUUGUUUGUCUCUCUGCACUUGGCUAAUUUUGCGCUCGGAUUUAAGUUGGUCUCACAGGAGAGCGCCCCUCCUCUGCUUAAUCUGGUUUCCAGGGCUACGGCUGUAAUACAGCCGCAGUCAGACACGCCGUGAGGAGUCAACCCCCAGAGUGAUGCGGUGCAAAUUAGGUGUCCGCUGACUGCAGCGCCGUUCCCAGCAUACACUGCAGCGUAUCGCUGUACACACUCAGGAACCGUGAGUACGAUCCGCUACACGGCCAAUGAGCUGAUACACUGCAGGUCGAGGGCAAAUACGCACAGCGACCGUGAUACGCCUCGGAAAGAACUAACUGCUAAAAGCCGAGUCAACAUAUCGACAGAGCAAACUGCCCUCCGUAUAGAUUUCAGAGGAGCACGGAACUCAACUGGUAAAACUCUUUGAGUCAGAGGGUUGAAGAAGGAAUCAGUGAGUUAAGGGGGAGCACGUAGCUGUCGGUUGACCUCUGCACGUGCCGGCCCGCCGCCGCUUUGACCCGGGAUCGAUCCGGUGCUGGCCAGUUAACUCUUGGCCUCUUGCGCCUCACACCACUCCCACAGAAGACAGGCGAGAUGUACGGACCGCCCACCGGCUGGAAGCACCGUUGGAGAAGCCUUCCAACCAUGUCUGCUUUUGUUUGUCCGCCGUGUUCUUUUGUAAUCUAAUUGCUGAGUGCUGUCUUUAUUAAACCGCCCAAGAGCUGAUGCAUCUUUUUGGUAUGACAAGGAUCGUUUUCUUCAGAAAUGAGCUGUGACUCUUCACACCGUGUAGGGCAAACAGGAUGUGUACAUAAACCUGCUUCAGCAAAGGCUGCAUGAGUACACCUCGGCCUUUGUGCCUCUUCAUUUUUCAGUAAAUGUCAUUAAAUUACAUUAUGCUAAUUCAACUAAUAGCUACGUGCUGUCAAAGAGAUUUCACUGUCUGGGAAAAUCAUGAAAUUAUUACUUAAUAUGGUAUUAAAGAGUGUGGGAAGUCAUUGUCAAAUUUAAAUGGUACUUGUGACACCAAAGACUUAUUUAUGUCCAACAACAGACAGCGAGCUAAAAUGAGAUGUUCCAUCUGCAUGGCACUGCCAAAAGGAGUUGUCACAUCCCGGGUGAUGAAAGGAAGAAGUAGGUAGUAUACUGACAAAGCAGGCAGCGAAAAAAUACCCACGCUGUAUUUCUAACAGGCAGAAAUGAAGAAGUAAACGAUUAAAUAUAGAUAUACUUUUCAAACCCCACAGUCAGCGGGGUCACUGCAUCAGGCAGGAUGGAAGGUAGCGUUCUGGGGAAAUGUUGAAAGACGGUGAACCAAACUAUCCCUAACUAUCAAUCAUUCAUGUCUCCGGCCACCUCCGGAGAGGGAGAAGACAAACAACAUCCAGACUCUAAUGCGCUACUUUCACUUUUCAUUCCACCGUGAGUCUGCUGACAUCCGGCAGCAUUCACAACAGGCAGCUUAGCGAGAAAAAACGUUGAGAGGUAACCCCCCCCCCUUCCCACCCACCCCACCCGCUCCGCCACCAUUGCUUUAUGUGUUAUAUUACAUUAAUAACACCUCGGUCCUGUGGGUGGUGGAAGCCUGACAGCUUUCUGGUCCCACGGAUGUCCACACCAAGCGGUUCGGCUAAAGAACGCAGGUCCUUUUUGCCAGACGGACACGCUGCCGUUGUUUUAACCCGGAGAUCCUGCACAGGUUUAAUCACGGCAACGUGUGGGAUCAGAGACGCACCUUCUGUCGCAGGAGCUGGAGAAGAAGAAAGGUGUUUGUGUCACCAGGACAGCGUCACACCGCUGGAGGUUGCAGUUUGAGACGCGAGUAGAUGCGCAUCUCUUGUUGCACUAUAAAUAAUACACGGCAUUGCUGAACAUCCAUCUCAUUAUUGCAGUUUCAGGUGUAGGGAAAGUCUGAAGAUCACAGAAAUGGUCAUGACUCAUCAUCAGGGGAGCAUGAAUAAACAGUCUUGUGAAUGCAGAUUUCCCUGACGAGGUCACACUGGCGGUCAGCAGGAGGUUUUACCUGUUCA
ensembl:lncRNA